CAAUAGCGUAUAUUUAAGUUGCUGCAGUUAAAAAGCUCGUAGUUGGAUUUCGGGUGGGAAUGGCCGGUCCGCCGUUUCGGUGUGCACUUGCUACGCCCACCUUGCUGCCGGGGACGUGCUCUUGAGUUCACGCUCGGGACACGGAGUCGGCGAGGUUACUUUGAGUAAAUUAGAGUGUUCAAAGCAGGCAUACGCCUUGAAUACUUCAGCAUGGAAUGAUCGAUAGGACUACCGUCCUAUCCGUUGGUUCUAGGGGCGCGGAGUAAUGACAAACAGGGUCGGUUGGGGGCAUUCGUAUUGAACAGUCAGAGGUGAAAUUCUUAGAUUUGUUCAAGACGAACAACUGCGAAAGCAUUUGCCAAGGACGAUCCCAUUAA
rnacentral:rRNA from 1 species